AAGCCCACUAAAAACAAGGGACUCAGUUAAAAGGGUUGGGCAAAAAGGCCAUCUACUUGUUUUCUUCUCCCACACUCGGAUCUCCUUCCAAUUCCAGACGUUCCUACAUUCAUUUCCCACGAAUUUCUGAGGAUAUGGGUUUGUGGACUCUACUGGAGGGCUGUCUGCUCAUUGCAAAUGCAUUGGCAAUAUUAAAUGAAGACCGAUUCCUGGCACCUAGAGGGUGGAGUUUCUCAGAAUUCUCAGGGGGCAGAACAAAGUCAUUUAAGGGCCAGCUUAUAGGUCUCAUAUACGCAACCCAGUACUUACGAGUUCCUCUGAUACUACUGAACUCCAUUUGCAUCAUCAUAAAGUUGGUGUCUGGGUGAUGUUGUUGCAGAUCAGAAGCAGUUGGUUCAGAACAUUGGGGAAUUCCUUUGCCAGAAAUGCCUUCUACAGUAGGGAGCCAUUAUAAGUUUAUUUUCAUAGCUGUAACAACUUAUUUGGGGUGUGAACUUUGUUGAUUUGGUUGUUAGUUUUUGUGCCAUUGAGACAACUUUUGCACCCUAUGAAUUGCAAGUGAGUUUGUUGAGGUAUCACUAUUCUGCUUCUUGCCUCAAUUUGUCCACAUUUAUUCAUCCAUUGGUUCAUCUACUUUGUUGAGGUAUGAAGCCUUAUGUAUUGGCCUUUUGUAUUGUUAAUUUCACUUUUGUACCUAACUGUGAUUAAAAAUUUAGAUAUAGCAUUAUCAUGGUAUUGAUUA